rnacentral:rRNA from 1 species
AGAGUUUGAUCAUGGCUCAGAUUGAACGCUGGCGGCAGGCCUAACACAUGCAAGUCGAACGGUAACAGGAAUCAGCUUGCUGAUUCGCUGACGAGUGGCGGACGGGUGAGUAAUGUCUGGGAAACUGCCUGAUGGAGGGGGAUAACUACUGGAAACGGUAGCUAAUACCGCAUAAUGUCGCAAGACCAAAGAGGGGGACCUUCGGGCCUCUUGCCAUCGGAUGUGCCCAGAUGGGAUUAGCUUGUUGGUGGGGUAACGGCUCACCAAGGCGACGAUCCCUAGCUGGUCUGAGAGGAUGACCAGCCACACUGGAACUGAGACACGGUCCAGACUCCUACGGGAGGCAGCAGUGGGGAAUAUUGCACAAUGGGCGCAAGCCUGAUGCAGCCAUGCCGCGUGUAUGAAGAAGGCCUUCGGGUUGUAAAGUACUUUCAGCGGGGAGGAAGGGAGUAAAGUUAAUACCUUUGCUCAUUGACGUUAUCCGCAGAAGAAGCACCGGCUAACUCCGUGCCAGCAGCCGCGGUAAUACGGAGGGUGCAAGCGUUAAUCGGAAUUACUGGGCGUAAAGCGCACGCAGGCGGUUUGUUAAGUCAGAUGUGAAAUCCCCGGGCUCAACCUGGGAACUGCAUCUGAUACUGGCAAGCUUGAGUCUCGUAGAGGGGGUAGAAUUCCAGGUGUAGCGGUGAAAUGCGUAGAGAUCUGGAGGAAUACCGGUGGCGAAGGCGGCCCCCUGGACGAAGACUGACGCUCAGGUGCGAAAGCGUGGGGAGCAAACAGGAUUAGAUACCCUGGUAGUCCACGCCGUAAACGAUGUCGACUUGGAGGUUGUGCCCUUGAGGCGUGGCUUCCGGAGCUAACGCGUUAAGUCGACCGCCUGGGGAGUACGGCCGCAAGGUUAAAACUCAAAUGAAUUGACGGGGGCCCGCACAAGCGGUGGAGCAUGUGGUUUAAUUCGAUGCAACGCGAAGAACCUUACCUGGUCUUGACAUCCACGGAAGUUUUCAGAGAUGAGAAUGUGCCUUCGGGAACCGUGAGACAGGUGCUGCAUGGCUGUCGUCAGCUCGUGUUGUGAAAUGUUGGGUUAAGUCCCGCAACGAGCGCAACCCUUAUCCUUUGUUGCCAGCGGUCCGGCCGGGAACUCAAAGGAGACUGCCAGUGAUAAACUGGAGGAAGGUGGGGAUGACGUCAAGUCAUCAUGGCCCUUACGACCAGGGCUACACACGUGCUACAAUGGCGCAUACAAAGAGAAGCGACCUCGCGAGAGCAAGCGGACCUCAUAAAGUGCGUCGUAGUCCGGAUUGGAGUCUGCAACUCGACUCCAUGAAGUCGGAAUCGCUAGUAAUCGUGGAUCAGAAUGCCACGGUGAAUACGUUCCCGGGCCUUGUACACACCGCCCGUCACACCAUGGGAGUGGGUUGCAAAAGAAGUAGGUAGCUUAACCUUCGGGAGGGCGCUUACCACUUUGUGAUUCAUGACUGGGGUGAAGUCGUAACAAGGUAACCGUAGGGGAACCUGCGGUUG